AGUCCUGCUACUCAGUAGGCAGAAGCAAGUAGAAGUUUGUAGAGGCACGCUUACAUUUUGUGUGGUGUUUCUUUAUGCAGUAUGAUUAAGAUUAUCUAAUUGUGAUUGAUGAGUGUUUUGUUACUCCGGUCCAGGAGUCUACUUUUCAUAGAUGUUCCUCCCCACACCCCGGGUUUUUUUUUUUUUUUUUUUUNNNNNNNNNNNNNNNNNNNNNNNNNNNNNNNNNNNNNNNNNNNNNNNNNUCUCUCUCUCUCUCUCUCUCUCUCUCUCUCUCUGGGGCCACUUUGUACAAGAAGCUAGAUCAGAACAGUUAAACAGGAGGUUACCAUGUUAAUAAAAUCAAUCAGUCUUAGGGAUCUGAGUGUCUGAAUUUGAAGCCAGAAACUAGUUUAUGCUUAGUAAUGUACAUUGAGCUUUAGAUACAUUCUAUAUCUUUUACACUCACAGCAUGCUUGCUGUUCUCCUGCCUCUUCUCUUUAGGAAGUAGUAUGAGAGUACAGGGAAAUUAAUAGUUUCCUAGGGCUUUUGUAACUUCUGGAGAGAAUCCAGGGAAUGGGGGCUGGAGUACAACAUUGGCUUGAUAGUAUAAUGUAUUCUUCCCCCUCCCCCGCCCCCCAACCCCUGUGUUUGUGUGGGAGAAUGUGCAUGUGAUGGUGGGUGUCCUCAGAGCUGGAUAGCCUGGUGCUUAUGAACCACCCAAAGUGGGUGUUGGCAACUGAACUGAGGUCCUUUGCAAGAAUAGCAUGUGUUUUUAACUACUGAGCUAUGUCUCUAAACACUGGUGUAAUUUGUGUGUGUGUUGGGUUUGGGGGAUAGAGUCUCAUGUAGAUCUGGGUGUUUGGGAAAUACUCUGUAGACCAAACUGGUCUCAGAAUGCAGAAGAUCCUCCUGCCUCUGCUCUCCACCCAGGGCAGGUAUGCCACACUAUGCUUAGCCUUUAGAAGGCACAUCUUACCAUUCAGUCACUUGUUUUUUACCCUCCUGUUACUUUAAGGCAGUAACGUUUAAACUGCGGGGCUGCUGCACACUAUAAGAUUAAAAUCUUAAAGACUUUUGUUCUAUCAUUCAGCCUCGGGACUUUAACAUGUAAGGUUUAUAGUGUUCCCUUUUACUGAACUACAAGCAAAGGUUCUAGUCCAAUAAUUUUCUUUUGGGAUAAGGCCUUCUGUGUAAGAAGAAAUGCUGGUAUAAAUGGAGACUUUUAAUCAGAAUUUUAUGUUAAUUGUAACAAUUAUUUGUCAGGUGAUGGUAGAACUGUAUUGAAUCUGUUUAUGGAAUUUUUAAAUGUUUGCUGUUCUGCCUCCUCCCACCCCUACCCCCC
ensembl:sense_intronic